rnacentral:rRNA from 1 species
CGAUCAGUAGCCGACCUGAGAGGGUGAUCGGCCACAUUGGAACUGAGACACGGUCCAAACUCCUACGGGAGGCAGCAGUGGGGAAUAUUGCACAAUGGGCGAAAGCCUGAUGCAGCAACGCCGCGUGAGGGAUGAAGGCCUUCGGGUCGUAAAACUCUGUCCUCAAGGAAGAUAAUGACGGUACUUGAGGAGGAAGCCCCGGCUAACUACGUGCCAGCAGCCGCGGUAAUACGUAGGGGGCUAGCGUUAUCCGGAUUUACUGGG